GUUAAAGUGCUCUUGAUGAAAGAUCGUGAAACCAACAAAUCAAGAGGAUUUGCCUUUGUCACCUUUGAAAGUCCAGCAGAUGCUAAGGAUGCAGCCAGAGACAUGAAUGGAAAGGUGAGAUUGCACAAUGAAUACCAUGUAUCCUAGUGCAUAAUAUAGCAUGUGCAAUCCCAACUCUGGUUCAUGGAAGCUCUUGAAUUAUUUUGGUUUUGAAUAUAUACCUCUCCAAGAUCUUCUCACCAUAGCCAAUUUGUAGUACUCUUUUGAAGUAUAUCAUGAGGUGUUUUUUUUUUUUUUUUUUUUGUGGUGCUAGGCAUGCCAAACAAGUGCUCUACCACUGAGCGACAUGCUCAACUGAAGCAUAUUAUGAAAUUCCAGGGUCAAAUGUUGUAGACAAAGUUAUAGAUUGUACCCUUUCUUCCCCCUUGGAUUGGACUUAUGCAUGCUAGUCAAGUGCUCCACCUUGAGUUACAUCCCCAACCAUGGAUUGUGCUCUUAAGUGUUUCUCAGUUCAGAGUAGCAUGUAAUGUUACAGAUAAGCAUUGUAUUUUAUCUUGGGAUCCCUAAACCAUAGCUUGAUGGCUUGGCCUUUAGCAUUGUUUAUUACUUUUGCUUUUUUUUUUUUUUAGGUGGGGGGUACUGGGGAUUGAACCCAGGGGGUGCUUUACCACUGAGCCAUAUCCCCAGUUCUUUGUAUAUUUUAUUUUGAGACUGGGUCUCACUAAGUUGCUAGGGCCUCCGUAAAUUGCUGAGGCUGGCUUUGAACUCAAUCCUCUUGCCUCAGCCUCCUGAGCUGCUAGGAUUACAGACAUGUGACACGAUUCCUGGUUCCUUUUUAUUUUUUGAUACAAGGUCUCACCAAGUUGCUGAGGCUGGCCUCAGCUUGCUAUCCUGCUUCAGUUUCCUGAGUUAACCUGGAGUUGCUGGGAUUAUAGGCAUGUGCCAUUGUACCUAAUCUGGUUAUUAGUUUUGAAAAUGAGCUGAUAUACCUACCUAGCAUUGCUUUAAAUUUUACCAAGUGCACUGAGUUUACUUUAUGCUUUGUAUUCUCAGUGACUGGGUAGACAUUUUAAGUAAGUGGAAAAGUCAUUCUUAGAAUUACUACUUCUAGGAUUUUACUUAGACUAAUUGAUGAACAAAAUUAACUGUAUUUUGGUGUCAAUAGUAUAUAGUGGACCUGUAAGUUCUUUUAAAAUUAUGAUGCAAUUUAACCGUUUUGAUUUUUGUUUAAAGUCCUUAGAUGGAAAAGCCAUCAAGGUGGAACAAGCUACCAAACCAUCAUUUGAAAGUGGUAGACGUGGCCCACCUCCACCUCCAAGAAGCAGAGGCCCUCCCAGAGGUCUUAGAGGAGGAAGAGGAGGAAGUGGAGGAACUAGGGGACCUCCCUCUCGUGGAGGGCACAUGGGUAAUAAUUUAGGUGGAUCUUUGGCUUGGUGUAUAAGAACUGCAAAUCCACGACAGUGUAUACUUUAAGCCCUCGUUGAAAGGCUCUCGCCUUUGAAAUUAAGAAAGAAUAUAUGCUUACCUCUUGAAGUGAUAAUGACUCGAGGAAAACAUGGAAGGUGUCCUAAGUUAAAUGAAUGUUGAUUUAAAUUAUAGAUCACAUUAUUUCUUACCUUAUUACUUAAUGUGUAAGAAAAGUACUUAAAAAAUCUUUUUCAAGAUUCAGUUUGAUACAUUGAGCAUAUGAAAGCAAAACAAUGUGUGUUCUUUGAAAUAACUUUAGAGACUACCCUUCAUUUUCCUUAUUUUCCCAGUCUACAUGACUUCAUGCUUGAUAUUGUGCAAUUGAAAAUAUAAGUUAGACCCCUCAAAGAGAAAAGAUAAAGAGAAGGUAGUAUCAUCAAAUCAUAGAAUUCUUUGUUUUGUUUUGUUUUUUAAAUUCUUGUGUUAACAUAUUUUUUUCUCCUUUCUAAUGUAGAUGAUGGUGGUUAUUCCAUGCAUUUUAACAUGAGUUCUUCCAGGGGACCUCUUCCAGUAAAAAGAGGACCACCACCAAGAAGUGGGGGUCCUCCUCCUAAAAGAUCAGCUCCUUCAGGACCAGUUCGCAGCAGCAGUGGAAUGGGAGGAAGAGGUAAAUGUUGCAUGCAUGACAAUCUGUGCUGUCACCAUAGCACUAAGAAUUAAGAAGUAACUCUUAAAAAUGACCCUUAAGACUUGUUCAGGAAUUCCAGGUGAUCUAGUAACAUGAAGCUAAUGAGUACUCAAAAGAUGUGAAUAACAUUUCUUGAUCUGUGUACGUAUUAUGUUUAAGUCACUACUUUUCAUUGUCUGAAUAUAAUAAGUUCACAUUUUAUUUAACUUUUACCAGGCUACAUUUAAAAAAAUUAUUAUUUUUCCUUAAGCUCCUGUAUCACGUGGAAGAGAUAGUUAUGGAGGCCCACCUCGAAGGGAACCCCUGCCCUCUCGUAGAGAUGUUUAUUUGUCCCCAAGAGAUGAUGGAUAUUCUACUAAAGACAGGUAACACAAAAAAAUGCAGUUUUUUCAUUAAGGUUAAAGGAGAGCUCAUCAAAAGCAUAGACCAAAUUACUUUUGUUUCUAUAGCUAUUCAAGCAGAGAUUACCCAAGUUCUCGUGACACAAGAGAUUAUGCACCACCUCCAAGAGAUUAUACUUACCGUGAUUAUGGUCAUUCCAGUUCACGUGAUGACUAUCCAUCAAGAGGCUAUAGGUAAGUGAGUGCUUCCAUGGCUCAAGUAUAAUAUUUUAUUGUAAAAGUUGGUGCUCUGGGACUCAAAGGUUUUUCUCUUUAAUUUAGUGAUAGAGAUGGAUAUGGUCGUGAUCGUGAUUAUUCAGAUCAUCCAAGUGGAGGUUCCUACAGAGAUUCAUAUGAGAGUUAUGGUAAGAUACUGUUAAGAGUCUUGAGUUUCAGCAGCUUGAGUUUUUAGGUUCAUGAGCCAGUUUAAUAGGCUGCGUGGUGCUUGCUUUUAAAGGGACGUUUGCUUGCUUUUUUAAAGGGUUAACUAUCAGCUGGGCUUUUCCUAGUUUUGUGAGGGGCUUUUGUUCUUUCCUAAGUUUUUUUUUUUCUUUUGAGGCUGUUCGCUUGCUUUGGAGGGGAUUUUGCUUGCUUAAAUUGGCAGCCUUAUGUGUUUUCCCCCAACAGUGAAAAUACAAUUUAAAAAUUUUAUUAACAAGAUCAAAUGUUUACCAUUGCAAUAUGAAGGAAACUCUACAGUUCAAAAUUGCAACUUAUCACUGGAAAGUGGCUGAGUGUCUACUAUAAAAUAACAAGCUGGAAUAUCCUCUUGAAAUACACACCGUCUUCAGUCUUUUCAAACAAACAUUAAAAUCAAUCCAUUUCCAUAUCUCAGCAGAUGAGCAAAUCCUUGUUAUGGCCAGCAAUGGUAGAGUUUAAAACCUCCCAGUUGAGAAAGUAAACUUUUAAUACAAGAAUUCUGUAAAUUCAGAUUUAAAUGUUGUAUAUAUACAAUUUAUAGUGUUGCCAUAUUACCUGACCAUUGACCCUGCAGGUAACUCACGUAGUGCUCCACCUACACGAGGGCCCCCGCCAUCUUAUGGUGGAAGCAGUCGCUAUGAUGAUUACAGCAGCUCACGUGACGGAUAUGGUGGAAGUCGAGACAGUUACUCAAGCAGCCGAAGUGAUCUCUACUCAAGUGGUCGUGAUCGGGUUGGCAGACAAGAACGAGGGCUUCCCCCUUCUAUGGAAAGGGGGUACCCUCCUCCACGUGAUUCCUACAGCAGUUCAAGCCGCGGAGCACCAAGAGGUGGUGGCCGUGGAGGAAGCCGAUCUGAUAGAGGGGGAGGCAGAAGCAGAUACUAGAAACAAACAAAACUUUGGACCAAAAUUCCCCGUUCAAAGAAACAAACAAAAAGUGGAAACCAUUCUGUCAUAACUACCCAAGGACUACUAAAAGGAAAAAUUGUGUUACCUUUUUUAAAUUUCCUGUUAAGUUCCCCUUCAUAAUUUUUUAUGUUCUUGUGAGGGAAAAAAAGUAAAACAUGUUUAAUUUCAUUUGAUUUUGAGUUGCUUUCAACAAGCAAAUGUUAAGUGUGUAAGACUUGUUGUACUAGUGUUGUAAUUUUCCAAGUUAAAGUGUCCCUGAAGGCCACUUCCUAUCCAGUUUUACCCAGUAAAUGAGGCAAGCAAUUCUAAGAUCUUCCACAAACAUCUAGCCAUCUAGAUGUCCAUUGAUCUCCACUGAGAGAUGAAUCGUUCUGCCUAUACAAAAAAGCUAGCUAAUAGGGGGUGGUUGGGGUAUGCUACUCUUAGGAUUUCAGGGUGUCUUCCAACUGAAAUCUCAAUGUUCUCAGUAUACAAAACCUGAGAUCAGAUAUCUAUGUAAGGAAAGUACUAUUCACCCAGUAAAUCCCCCUUCCCCCCAAAAAAAACCAAAUGGAUAAUGCUGGCCAUAUUUUGCCUUUCUGACAUUUCCUUGGGAAUCCGCAAGAACCUCCCUUUCCCCCUCCCCCAAUAAGACCAUUUAAGUGUGUGUUAAACAACUACAGAAUACUAAAUAAAAAGUUUGGCCAAAACCAACCAUGAAGCUGCAAACGAUGCUUGCUCUUACUGUUUCAAAUUUUUGCAACUCUGUAGUGUCUCACUUUUAAAGGAACAGCUUGAUUGCAAAGGAGAAAAUAGAUAAGCAAUGAAGUUAUCUCCAACUUCCUAAAGGCUUAUGACUUCUAAAAAGUGAAUCUAUCAGCAUUCCACAUCAGAUUUAAAGCACCAAAUGCCUGUGAAACAGCAAAGAUGGUAAGCAAAGCAAACUAGUUUUUCCGUCUAAGUCGAAAUUGAACACUUACCUUCCUCAUAGUACAGUGAAACAUACUGUACCUCAUGGCAAUGGAAAUGUGCCUUCUAGAUUAAAAAAAAAAACCUUUUGGAAAAGCAAAUGUUCAAUAGCAUAUUAGAAGUCCUCCAAAUUCAACACUUGGAUUUUUUUUUUUAAAGCAUGUGUGACACUUAAAGGCCUUAAUACAGCUGUUUACCAGUACCAAUCUGGGGCUUGGGAGGGGGUAUUUUUUAAAGUAUUUUUGAUGAAGACCUUUAAACAUGCUUCAUAUGUUUUUAACAUUUUUUUUUUUCAAAUUAGUCUUAGUCAAUAUAAGAAAUGGCUUAGGUUUGGGGUCCCCUCUCUUACCCCUGUAAGCCAUUGCAAACUUGACCUUUAGUUGGAUGCCUGACUUGUUUUUAGUUCUAUGAAACUACACUGUAUGGAGAAAAUCUAUUGCAAGUGGUCUUUAAAAAGCAAAACCUGAGGCAGCAUGACCCAGGUCCAGCCAUGAAGUUGAAAAAGAUGCUCUUGAAUAUAGUAAACUUGAAGACCUCCAACUAAAAAUCCUUAUACGCACUUAUUCCUUCAAAUAAAUGUUUUGUCCGUUCAACUUAUGGAUUUAACGUGGCAGUGCACCAUUGGAACAGAAUGAGAAUCCAUAAGCCAUGCAACUUAACCAUUUAAGCCAUUCCAGUCCAUCCCAAGCCAGUGAAUCUUCCACUACUUAAGAGAACUAGUAGAACAUGAAAUACAUUAAUCUGGAAGUCUGAACUUGCCUUUCUGGAAAGAGGGCAGUUAUAGGCAAGUUUUAAAGUUUCCUUAAGAGAGAUAACUAGUUUUCAUCUGUUUAAUUUUUGCAGGUUGAGGACUUAUGGUCAUUGUGGUCAUGGAGUGCUGAUUUAUUCACAAUAGAUAAAGCUGGCAGCAGGAGAAAUCAAAUGCUAAGGUAAGUUUUGAAAGCACUGGCCUUUCAAGGUUUAAAUAGUAUUUGUAGUUUUGCCACUGUCAAGCUGUGGUGUUGGCAAGUUUUUUUUUUUUUUUUUUUUCCUGAUCCACACUUCAUCUGCAAAAGGGGAUAUAAUAUACAACUCUUGGAAAUUAGGUUAGAUUAUUUAACGUGUGUUAUCUGGCACAUCCAUUUUUUUUAAAGAGAAUUUUAAUAUUUAUUUUUUAGUUUUUGGCGGACACAACAUCUUUGUUUGUAUGUGGUGCUGAGGAUCGAACCUGGGCCGCACGCAUGCCAGGCAAGCGCGCUACCGCUUGAGCCACAUCCCCAGCCCUGGCACAUCAAUUUUGAAUGUAGAGGGAGGUUAUAUAGGUAUAUUUCCAGUAAUAAUACUAUUAGUCAUGCAAUAUUCUUGGCUGUUUAAAACCAAUUGCAAAUAUCUUUUCAUAUUGCAAGAGUUCUCUUGACAGGAUCUGUGUAUACAGGUAAUACUUUGGUAUGUGAGCAGACUUUACAUGAAGUUUGGGCUUCAGUGAAUUUUCUCAGUGCUUGCUUAUUUGUAUAGCUAUAAUACAAAUUGACUAAAUGGAGAGUUAUUGAUAUCAAUUAUAAGAAAAAGUAUGUAUUUAGGAAUGAUGGGGGGUGUUGGGGUACUAUGCAGUAUAAAACAAAUGCUUUACCUUGUAACUUGAUCCCAUGCUUUUUUACAGAGUUGUUGAAGCAGAAGAAUGCUGAUUGUCGAUCAGUCACAGCAGUCGCAUAAGCAGUGCUCGUCAGAAUUGGUUUGGUGCAGGCAAUAGAUUUUUGUCUUCAAGGGUUCUUGUGGAUCUGAGGAAGGCAUUAGUGUUGGUUAACACUCUUAACUAGGGAGUGGUAGUUACUUAAAAUUGACCAAAUGGAGAAAGGGAAAUAAAGAAAUUGGCAAGUGGAGGUACUCAGGAAGUUCUUG
rnacentral:lncRNA from 1 species